CUCCUGCCUCCUGCCUCCUGCCAGACUCCGUUCUUUACAGACUUAGCCUUCAAGAAGCAUGUGUGGAUAACUCACACUCAUGGCCCUGUUCCACUUACGUGCUGUACUUGUGGUCCCCUCAGCAGUCACAAACUUCUUCCACUAUCCACCUAAGAUUCAAAGGGCAAAAGCCUCAGUGGGCAAAAUCCCAAUGACCCUAUUUGACCCUGUCCUUCUGGCCUAAAACACCUCAGGUACCAUCAAAGUCUUCACAAAAUCAUGAUGAAUAAGCACUAGCUACAGCCUGAAUGUCAUCUUACCUCCUAUGCCUCUGCACUUAUAUCAUGUCUGCCCUUCUCUUGCAAGCUUUAGCAACCUGCCAAACUACCUAUUUUUUACAUACCCUCCAAGCAUGGUCACUUACACCAUCACCUAUGUUACCCAGGUACCCAAAAAACUGACCCAAUCCAUGCUCCUCAUUCCCUUUCUUUGCCACCUAAUAGCAUUACAACUACAACCCAGAGACUGUCCCUCUUAAAUGUAACCCACAGUUCACUCAGUUUAGUCCACAUGACAGCCAACAUAUUUUGAAUGUCUGUAUCCUGAGCCACAUUCCACAUUUCUGCCCACUUAACAUCUCUUAGAGCCUUUGUAGGCUCUAAAAAUUUCAGGCUGGUGAAAACAACCUUUCUCAUAUGCCUAGUGAGUAAUACUCCAACUACCAACUUGUUCAUCUUGGUUGAUGGAGCUUUUAUCCUUAGCUGUUAAUAUCAAAAACCUUGGGAUCACCUCUGAACCCUGUUUCAUUACCUCACUAUUCACAUUAGAUAAUCUAGUUGCUCCUUUUAAAAAUGUGUAUGCAGCCAUCCCAGCUACUCAGGAGGUUGAAGCAGGAGAACUCCAAGUCUGAAACCAAUGUGGGUAGCUUAGCAGGACUAUCUCAAAUUUUUUAAAAUAAAAUAAAAAUAAAAGGGGCUUGGGAUAUUGCUUAGUGGUAGAGCACCUGGCAUGCACAAGGUCCUGGGUUCAAUACCAGGUACCACCAAAAAAAAAAAAAAAAAAAGCAGCCUCAACUCUGAUCUUCCUUCCUCCUCCAACUCCAGUCUAUUCUCCACUCUGCAGACACACAGAGACUGUUAAGGUAUAUCAUCUCCUUGCUCUGAUACAAACUUCUUACUACCUCCAGAAUAAACAUCAAACUUCUCAACGGUUUGGAAUUUUUUCCCCCUAUGCUGAGGAGCAAAUCCAAGGCCUUGUCAAUGCUAGGCAGAUGCUCUACCACUGAGCUAACCCCAGCCCAAUGUUCGUAGUACUGACUUCAAUCCCACUCUUUGUUAGCACCAGAAAGCAAGCAGACCUGUGAGAACCUAAACGUUCCAGUUUGGCAUUACCUCUGAGCAUGGGUGCAUUUGAUGUCUUUCUGGGAUAACCUUCCACACCUGCUCACACUGAAGAGAAACGAGAGCUCCUUUCAUACCUCUCCAUACAGGCUGGCACGGACUGAGGUCCCCGGGCUUGGGGUUUCUCCAGGGCCCCAGGAACCAAGGACUGGAAGAAUCCUAGAACAUACAAUCCACAGGACGUCUGGGGGUGUCGAGGCCACUGAGGAAUUGAAGCGCCUCCCACCUAAGUGUGCAGCUUCCAUAACCUUCUUUAGACAUGGAAGCCGUGGGAAGUCCAGGCCUCGAGGCGACUCAGUGGAGUCGGGCUCAGCUGUCCCUGUGGCCCAGAGCCCGGAGACCUCGUCUUCGGGGUCGCCCGUCACCCCUAACCCCUCCCUGCUGCAGCAAAGAGCAUUCAGAUCCUCAGAUCCGACCGAAAGAACCCAAAGUGACCGCCAGAAGAAGGCCGCCGGAAGUCCCGCC
rnacentral:lncRNA from 1 species